UACGAAGGGGGCUAGCGUUGCUCGGAAUGACUGGGCGUAAAGGGCGCGUAGGCGGUUUGUACAGUCAGGUGUGAAAUUCCCGGGCUCAACCUGGGGGCUGCACUUGAUACGUAUGGACUGGAGUGGGGAAGAGGGUCGUGGAAUUCCCAGUGUAGAGGUGAAAUUCGUAGAUAUUGGGAAGAACACCGGUGGCGAAGGCGGCAUCCUGGACCGGCAUUGACGCUGAGGCGCGGAAGCCAGGGGAGCAAACGGG
rnacentral:rRNA from 1 species